UCCACUGGUUUGUUUCACUGCUGACAAUUUGCUUAAUUCUCUUAUAUGUAAGAACACAGCUCAGAAAUAAUCUGUAAAGGACCUAUGCAUAGCUGCUGAGUUUUACAGGUCUCAUCCUCUCAGGAAGUAGAGCAUCUCUAUUGCACUUAAGAAGCCGAGGCAAUAGAGCCCAAAAAUACUGAGACGGCACCAGUGAUCUGAAUCUUGAAAUUUUAUUCUCUGAUUCAACGUGUUACAAACAAACAUAUUCCACCUGUUACAACAAUCUGGCAUAUUACUUCCUUGAUACGUGAUGAUACAAUACCUCUCAGGUUUGCUGAGUA